AUACUUACCUGGCAGGGGAGAUAUCAUAAUCACGAAGGUGGUUUUCCCAGGGCGAGGCUUAUCCAUUGUACUCUGAAUGUGCUGACCCUUGCUAUUUCCCCAAAUGUGGGAAAGUUAACUGCAUAAUUUGUGGUAGUGGGGGACUGCGUUCACAUUCUCCCCUG
rnacentral:snRNA from 1 species